rnacentral:rRNA from 1 species
GGGCGCAAGCCUGAUGCAGCCAUGCCGCGUGUGUGAAGAAGGCCUUCGGGUUGUAAAGCACUUUCAGUUGUGAGGAAGGUGGUGUCGUUAAUAGCGGCAUCAUUUCGACGUUAGCAACAGAAGAAGCACCGGCUAACUCCGUGCCAGCAGCCGCGGUAAUACGGAGGGUGCGAGCGUUAAUCGGAAUUACUGGGCGUAAAGCGCAUGCAGGUGGUUUGUUAAGUCAGAUGUGAAAGCCCGGGGCUCAACCUCGGAACUGCAUUUGAAACUGGCAGACUAGAGUACUGUAGAGGGGGUAGAAUUUCAGGUGUAGCGGUGAAAUGCGUAGAGAUCUGAAGGAAUACCGGUGGCGAAGGCGGCCCCCUGGACAGAUACUGACACUCAGAUGCGAAAGCGUGGGGAGCAAACAGGAUUAGAUACCCUGGUAG